ensembl:rRNA 5S_rRNA 5S ribosomal RNA
UGCCACAGCCAUAUCACCCUGCGGCCCAAGAGCGGUUACUCACUGAAGCUAAGCAGGGCUGAGGCUGGUCAGUGUCUGGAUGGGAGACCAGAUGGGAACACUAGGUUGCUUUUGGCAG